GCUUCGGUGCAUGUUCACUAUUUAAACUAAUUUAAUACAGGUAUUAUUAUCAGCAUGGCAAGAAUAGUUUCCAUAGUCAACUGACUAGUUGAAUAUACUGCUCAACAUACGCUUCCAAAGGCGCCAACUUUUACACUUGAUAGUUUCAAACGUUUCAAAUUUGUACGCUCAAUAAGCUAGCUAUUCGAAUAGAACUUUGUGCAUCAUUCAGCUACUCGUUGACACCAAAUAUUGUAUACAAGAGGGAAAGAGUGUCAUUGUCCGCGACAGCUGUUGCCUCGUCACCGAUUUCGCGAAUAUUAUAAAUAUGUCUGCACAAACAAAUCGAGAAUGGCGCGACCUGUCGGUAAGAAAAUAUAUUUUUACAUUACGGAUUAACAUGGCAUGGCGUUGUUGUUUCGAUAAAAUGUGUUUGAAAUAUUGUUUGUUGACAUUAUUGAAUUAAGCAGUGCCAGCCUUAACAUAUUUAACCUCGGAAUAAAUUUAUCACAUAUAUAUAUAUAGUUUGAACUUUGUCUUAAAUUUGUCAUUUGCUGUAAUUAAUGUUUGUAAAUAUUUACUUUAUUGUUGUGAUAUCAGGCCUGGAGAAGCGAAGGGCUGCCGUUAUCUACUACGAGCCAGAGAGCUGCAAAACUUUUUGAUGCAGUCGUCACGCAGGUAUUAUGUACUAUACACUCUUUCAAGUACUCUUUGUUUCAAAUAUGAAAUUUCACAGCGCUCAUGCAGGCUGGAUAAUUUUACUUUUCGGACAAAUUAAGGCUUCAAACAUUCUCCGGUACAUAAUAGAUUAGAAUAUGUCGUAAGUUAUCAUAUGUCCAUGGAAUUACAGAUAAGGAUUUCUGGCUCAGAGCUAUAGUUCAGACCUAUUGGGCAGAUUUUUAUACACGUGCCGAAUUUAUUAGUGCAAUAUGGUCCCCUGCAGAGGCGUAUAAACAUACGUGGCAAUUGUCGCAUUGAACCGGCUUGGUAAGUAAUAUUAAUGCGUGUUCUGUCAGAAAACGAAAUAUUAAUACAAAAUAUUAGGAAAUUCGAAAACAGAAUCAAAAUUGCAUUUUUAGUCUAAAAGUUAUUGCCGUUUAAAAAUGCUGUAAAGUCCGUUCUGUGCAUCAGUUCUGCUUAUAACAAAGGGGGAUCCGCAGAUAUAAAUAUUGCCCAAAUUUUGCAUUGUAGAGUUUAUAUUCAUUUACAAGCAUAUAGCGAACCAGAAAAGUGUUUCACUGUUAUAGUACUUCAUAUUUAAAAAAUAUAGCAGUUCAAAAUAUAAACAAGACGCUCUAUAGAGCGUUAACUCGCUGGGGCCAUACAAAAUUUUGUCACCAUAUUUGUUCAUAAUUUGGUAACCGCUACAGGAAAAGUGUAAAACAGAACGAUUUACAGAAACAUUUACAACAGAUUGUGGAAGUGGGAAGGUUCUUGUAAUUUGACUGUAACAUACUGUAAAAGGUAGACAUUACCAUGGGCGUACCGGAAGGAAAAAAUUAGGGGGGUGGAAAGAAAAUUGCCCGACUUUUCGGGAUUCUGCCCGACUAGUACCAAAAAAAAUUUUCCGGAAAAAUUAUUUUGGCGAAAUAAUUUUAGACAAAAUUGACAGAAUUUGUCCCAUUUUUUUUUAUUGCAAACCGAAAUUGCCCGACUGUUGAUCGAAUAUUGCCCGACUGCCCAAAAAACUGGGGGGGCUACCGCCCCCCCCGCCCCCCCGCCCGGUACGCCUAUGGAUAUUACCAGUAAGUUAGAACAGUAAAAUACAGUUUAGAGUGAGACUUUAUUGAGGAGAAAUAGUACAGAAAGAGCUGACAGUUCAGUUAGCAAUACUUGCAGAUACGCAUCGAAGUAUCAUCAUGCAAUAAAAGAAUUACAGAUUUUUCUACAGCAUACAUCGCAUAUUUAGAACAAAAUUCUGAAACAAAUCACUAGGACUAUUUGAAAUUUAAAUAUUCAGUUUGAAUAUGAAUUAUGAGACUUAUGAUUAUAUAAUCACGGAACAAAUCUUGCAUCUGAACAAACCAAAUUUAGCAAGUUCUUUAUUUAAUGCAUGGAUACCAUUUCUGUAAACUUUUAUAAUGUUUAUUUUUUAUGAAGCGUCGAUAGUUCAUAAAUUCAAUUUCAUUGAUUUACCAGUAUUGGUCCAGUAGAGAUGGAGAUGUUCGUUGUAAAGGUAUACCAAUAAUGAGGGACAAUCAAUAUACGUUAAUCUUGUCCUCGAAGAAUUAACAGUCGCAUUUCAAGGAACUUGUGAAAUCGCUCUUUCUUGUUCGUAAUUUCGUGGUUGCUAAUCUUUAUAAAGUUUAUCUUUAUUUGAGUGCUAUCUAUGAGUGUUAUCUUUAGACUUUGACAUAUACCAUGAUCGUUGAGUUUCGGCAAUGCCAAGGGCCAAUGCAGGAAAUUUUAUAGUCUUUUGAUCACUUAACUACACAGCUAUGGCUUUCCAUAUUGCCUCUUGGCGAUAUUUCGGAAAUCAAGUGAUCUCGCUAUUUCGUUGCAAUUCCACAUAUCAUCAAUAAUAAAUUAUUUUAGUCCGAGUAUCAGAAUAUACUUUAAAACUAACAACCGAUCUAGAGAUAUGUAUAUAUAUUCUAGGCUUAUUGCCUGAUUGCCACGCCGCCCAGGCGUGCUUUCUUUAGCAAGUCUGUAAGCUAAAAUCUGAUCCAACUUUCUUGAAUUGUAACUUGACACUAGAUAUAGAGUAGAAAGUCACAUCAUGAUAAAUUUUAAUUUUUAAUUGCUGUUCUCUUCACGAUUUCGUGUUGCAAAUUUAAAUUUCAUCACACAAAGUUGCAAUGAUUUUUACAACGCGACAAACACGCUCCUCGUCCACCCUACCCAUAGUACAAUUUUAAUUUAUCACCCAGAAUCUGGGUCACAAGUGACUAGCCGAAACCAGGGUCUUUACUUCGCCUCGCGCCGUUCUAAGAAAGACGCUGGGAACUCGGGGAAUGUUGGGAGAACACUCGAGAAGCAUGUAUAGCACUCGGCUACGCCUCAUGUUUUACACGCUUCUGUCGUAUAUUCUCCCAACAUUCUCCGCGUGCAUUUAUAUCACACCAUAAACAUACGCGACUCGUUUUCUAUUUCUUAAUUAAGUAAUCAUGUUGACAUUGAUUGUUGCAGUAUGUUGGCU
rnacentral:lncRNA from 1 species